UGUUCUGUGGCUUAAUUGGUGGAAGCGUCGGUCCAGCGAAUACGGUCGUGGGUUCGAACCCCACCAGAACGC
rnacentral:tRNA from 1 species